CAGCAGCCGCGGUAAUACAGAGGGUGCGAGCGUUAAUCGGAUUUACUGGGCGUAAAGCGUGCGUAGGCGGCUAAUUGAGUCGGAUGUGAAAUCCCCGAGCUUAACUUGGGAAUUGCAUUCGAUACUGGUUAGCUAGAGUGUGGGAGAGGAUGGUAGAAUUCCAGGUGUAGCGGUGAAAUGCGUAGAGAUCUGGAGGAAUACCGAUGGCGAAGGCAGCCAUCUGGCCUAACACUGACGCUGAGGUACGAAAGCAUGGGGAGCAAACAGGAUUAGAGACCCCCGUAGUCCCUGUCUAUUAUAC
rnacentral:rRNA from 1 species